GGGGCAUAAACGGUCAGACCGGGUGUUAAAUUCUGUAUUAGGCAGCGCCCGGCACGAGGGUUCGAUUCCCUCAUGCUCCA
rnacentral:tRNA from 1 species